rnacentral:tRNA from 1 species
GCUACCGUGGCUUAACGGUAAAGCAAUCGAUUCGUAAUCGAUAGAGUGAGGGUUCGACUCCCCCCGGUAGCUCCA